UAUGGCCAUAUUAGGUUGAAACAGCGGUUCCCGUACGAUAACAGAAGUUAAGCAAUGUUGAAUCUGGCCAGUACCUAGAUGAGUGACCACUUGGAAAUGCCUGGUGUUGUAAG